UACAGAGGGUGCAAGCGUUAAUCGGAAUUACUGGGCGUAAAGCGUGCGCAGUCGGUUAUUUAAGUCGGGCGUGAAAGCCCCGGGCUCAACCUGGGAAUUGCGUUCGAUACUGGAUAGCUAGAGUUCGGCAGAGGGAAGCGGAAUUUCGGGUGUAGCGGUGAAAUGCGUAGAUAUCCGAAGGAACAUCAGUGGCGAAAGCGGCUUCCUGGACCAGAACUGACGAUCAGGCACGAAAGCGUGGGGAGCAAACAGGG
rnacentral:rRNA from 1 species